CGGGAUGUGGCGCAGCUUGGUAGCGCAUCCGCUUUGGGAGCGGAGGGUCGCAGGUUCGAAUCCUGUCAUCCCGACC
rnacentral:tRNA from 2 species